UGGGGAAUAUUGGACAAUGGGCGGAAGCCUGAUCCAGCAACGCCGCGUGAGGGAUGACGGCCUUCGGGUUGUAAACCUCUUUCAGUACCGACGAAGCGAAAGUGACGGUAGGUACAGAAGAAGGACCGGCCAACUACGUGCCAGCAGCCGCGGUAAUACGUAGGGUCCGAGCGUUGUCCGGAAUUAUUGGGCGUAAAGGGCUCGUAGGCGGUUUGUCGCGUCGGGAGUGAAAACAGCGGGCUUAACUCGUUGCUUGCUUUCGAUACGGGCAGACUAGAGGUAUGCAGGGGAGAAUGGAAUUCCUGGUGUAGCGGUGAAAUGCGCAGAUAUCAGGAGGAACACCGGUGGCGAAGGCGGUUCUCUGGGCAUUACCUGACGCUGAGGAGCGAAAGUGUGGGGAGCGAACAGGAUUAGAUACCCUGGUAGUCCACACCGUAAACGUUGGGGCGCUAGGUGUGGGGUCCUUUCCACGGAUUCCGUGCCGUCAGGC
rnacentral:rRNA from 1 species